ACCUGGUUGAUCCUGCCAGAAUAAUAUGCUUUCUUUGGUGAUUAAGCCAUGCAAGUCUAAGUAUAAGCUUUUAUACAGCGAAACUGCGGAAGGCUCAUUAUAACAAUCUUAACGCUCGCAACCUAAAUAAAGCUUCGGCUUAACGGAUAACUCUGGGAAACUAUAGCUAAUACGUGUAGAGCAAGGGUCAAAUCUUGCUAGAUCACCCGUAUGGGUGUGAAGGAUUUAUUAGUCAUUUACAGAGAGACUUCGGUCUUGAUGGGGAGCCAACAAAAAAUUGGUGAAACAUGAUAACUAUCCGAAUCGCAGUACAAUUUAUUGUGGCGAUGGUAUGCAGCGGAGUUUGUCUUAUUAAGUUGUAGUUAGUAUAGAGGACUAACUAGCUAUUGAUGAGUACGGGGAAUGAUUGUUCGAUUCCGGAGAAGCUACAUGAGAAUCUGUAGCUACAACUAAGGUUCGGCAGCAGGCGCGAAACUUACCCAAAUGUUAAAUCGAUGAGGUAGAGAAGAAGAAUAUACAUGUAGGCCAUUAUGGUGCUAUUAGUAAAUGAGGUGUGUGUAAAACAACGCUGAGUAACAAAGAGAGGGCCAGUCUGAUGCCAGCAGCCGCGGUAAUAUCAGUUCUCUGAGUAUAUUUUUAUUUGCUGCUUUUAAAAGGCCCGUAGUCUAUGUUUGAGAAAGUUGAAAUGGUUUGUCCACAAAUGUGAGACUGCCAGCAACAUCUCUUCGGAUAGUUAAAUUUAUUUAGCUGUCAUUUUACCAUGAAUAAAGCUGAGUGCUUAAAGCAGGCGUAACUAGCCUUUGAAAGUUUUAGCAUGGGAUAAUAGAAUAGGACCGUGUCGUUCGUCGGAUGAAGAGCUUGCUCUGAUUCCAAUGUUGGUUCCUUUGAACAUAUGGUAAUGAUUAAUAGGAGUGGAUGGGGUUCUUACUACUAGACGGCCAGAGGUGAAAUUUUAUGAUCCGUCUAUGAGUAACUGAAGCGAAGGCUAUGAACCAAUACACCUCCAUUGAUUAAGGACGAAAGUUGGGGGUUCGAAGACGAUUAGAUACCGUCGUAGUCCCAACUGUAAACGAUGUCGACUGAGGAUUAGGGUUAAUCUAUUUAUAAAGAUGAUUCUAGCACUCUCAGGGAAACCUUAAGUUUGGACUGAGGGGGGAGUACGAUCUCAAGAUUGAAACUUAAAGGCAUUGACGGAAAGCCACCACAAGAUGUGGAUUAUGCGGUUUAAUUUGACUCAACACGGGAGACCUCACCAAUGCAGGAGCUAGAGAGGAUUGACAAGUUAAUAGGCUUCUCAUGAUUAUAGUAAACGUGGUGCAUGGCCGAUUUAAGUUAGUGGAUUAAUCAGUCUGCUUAAUUGCGAUAACUAGCGAGAUCUCAGCCCAUUAAAUAGUACAUAGAACUUAUGAUACUUCGGUAUCGUUCUAUGAGACUUCUUAGAGGGACGAUGUGAUUUUUUUUGAACACAGGGAAGUUUGAGGCGACAUCAGGUCAGUAAUGCCCGUAGGUGUGUUGGCCCACACGCGUAAUACAAUGGCAAGGACAACGAGCUUUAAUAUAUCCUUAAUCGAGAGAUUUGGGUAAUCUUUAAUCCUUGCCGUAUCCGGGAUUGUCGUUUGUAACUUUUCGACAUGAACUUGGAAUAUCUUGUAAGCGUCAUUCAUAAAAUGGCACUGAAUAAGUCACUGGCUUUUGUACACACCGCCCGUCGCUAUUGAAAAUAUGACCAGCUUAGAAGAUGCGGGAUGGCGGAGAAGAUAGCUUUCUAUCCCUUUGUCCAGAACGCAUUUAAUGAGUUGGUUGGAGAUUCAAUAAAAGUCGUAACAAGGCAUCCGUAGGUGAACCAGCGGAAG
rnacentral:rRNA from 1 species